AAUACUUAGUUAGACAAUACUUUUGUGAUAUUUGUUAUCAUAUUUGAUAUUUGAUGUAUCCUGAUUCAGUGCGACACAAGUUCAAGUUAGUUAAAGUCUUUGGUUCACUCCACAUAUUUAGACUUACUCAUAGUCAAUCCCACUGCAGGAAGAUUUCUAGUUCAGCAAGUGAAAGCGUGUCUCCAAACAAGGCCAUUAUCGACACAGAUAAAAGUUGACAAUUGACAAUGAUUUUCCUUAUAUUUUAUUAUAAACUCCUGUUUCCAUGGGCAAAGACAAAUCACAUUUGAAGCUUUUCAAUAAAAGCCUUAACAGGAGUUAUGGAUCCAGGAUCUAUAACACCCGGUAGAUAUUUUAAAAAUAUUUCCAUAAAGUAGAUAGUAUAUUUUUUCUUUAUUUUUCUCACCUAUAUAAAUCAUUAUUCUCGUUGUUGGACCGCCCUCCCGCUCACUGACUACACUCUCCUGAGCCCAUCCCACCAACAUGUCUGGACGACACUCGGCAGGCAAAUGUUUCCCCGUCGCCACUGUUAUCUAACGCAAUGCUAACGGGAAGCUAACGCUCAGUGAUGUCUCACCUCGUCAACGGUCCGCCUAGGAAGGUGCAGCAUCCCGAGCAGCAGUUUGAGCUUCACUGGCGGUGAAAGGCUGGAAAAGCAUAACCGUAUGUUGUCGAUAACCGACACUGUAAGAAGGGAGGCGAUGCUCGGCGGCGUCCAGAGCUCGUCAGUGGAGCCCAGCUUGUUGUGAAGCCACAGGCCGGUGUCGCUGUCCUUCAUCGACGCCAUCUUGGAAAAAGAAGUGUUUUGAGUUCGGGCAUUUUAACAGGCUACCUAAGAAAACAGCAGCAAGGACCCCGCCCACCUUGUGUUUGUUGUGUGAAGGAAAAAUCAAAGAAGCUGGAUCUCACAUAUAACUAAAUAUUAAUAUAAAUAUUAAUGUAUAUGUCAAAUAGUGACUCCAUGCAAAAGAUACAGCUACUUGUAUCUUUUGCAUGUUUUUGAACUCUGCCUUUUAAAUCGAAUAAAUAAUUGCAAUACUCAAA